AUCUUCAUGCUCGUCAUUUCCUCCUCCCCUCUCUCUCUUGCCUGUGGCUACUGUCCUCCUUCUACUCCCAAGACCCCGAAAGGACCCAUCACCGUGCCUCCCAUCAUCGUCAACCCACCCAUCACCGUGCCUCCCAUCGUCGUCAGGCCGCCCAUCACCGUGCCUCCCAUCGUCGUCAAGCCGCCCAUCACCGUGCCUCCCAUCAUCGUCAGGCCGCCCAUCACCGUGCCUCCCAUCAUCGUCAAGCCGCCCAUCACGUUGCCUCCCAUCAUCGUCAAGCCGCCCAUCACGUUGCCUCCCAUCAUCGUCAAGCCGCCCAUCACGUUGCCUCCCAUCAUCGUCAAGCCACCCAUCACAGUACCGCCUAUCACGGUGCCACCAGUCAUCGGUGGCGGGAAGCCACCUGGGACCGGAACCGCCGG
rnacentral:lncRNA from 1 species